CGUAUUCUCUCUCCCCAGCGUGACGCACCUUCAUCGAUGGCUUCCCGCACUUUUUCCGCAUCAGCUGACAAGUAGAGAGGCACUAUAUGGCACCCACCUUCACGAAGGGGAAGGCUGGCCCGGGACUGAAGGGCUCAUUCUCAUGCUCCAGCUGGUAGCGCACAUACUCCUCCACGCCCUGCUCCGUGUAGAUGCGCUGCUCCUCGUCCAUGCGGAACAAGGCUCGGGAGGACACAGCAAUGGACGCGGGCAGAGCAGUACCCGGAGCCCACAGCGCAGGACCUUGAGCCAGAGCCCGAACGCAGACGCUCGGGUCCGGAGCCCGAUGCCCAGAUGGCAGGGAGCUGAGAGCACAACGAGGAGCCGGGUUUCCAGAGUCAGGUUACCCGAGCCCGGGGCGCUUGGGCAGGCACCGCUGACCCGCUAUGCCAACAAGUGCUGCCCGCGCCCCUGGCUGCCGGGCUCGUGGAGGAGCUGGGCCCUGAGGACAGCAUGGGGGAGGGGGAUUCCUGGCGUGGAACCCGAGCCCCGGGGGGGAAAAAAAAAAAAAAAACGCCGGCUCAGAGCUCCCAAAAUAAACGCGAGCCGGUGCC